rnacentral:rRNA from 1 species
AGAGUUUGAUCCUGGCUCAGGAUUAACGCUGGCGGUAUGCAUUACACAUGCAAGUCGAACGAAAACUUUAUAAGUUUUAGUGGCGGACGGGUGAGUAACGCGUGAGAAUUUACCUUUAGGAGGGGAAUAACAGUUAGAAAUGGCUGCUAAUGCCCCAUAUGCUUUUAGUGAAACGGAGUAAUCCGCCUGAAGAAAAGCUCGCGUCUGAUUAGCUAGUUGGUAAGGUAAUGGCUUACCAAGGCGACGAUCAGUAGCUGGUCUGAGAGGAUGAUCAGCCACACUGGGACUGAGACACGGCCCAGACUCCUACGGGAGGCAGCAGUGGGGAAUUUUCCGCAAUGGGCGAAAGCCUGACGGAGCAACGCCGCGUGAGGGAUGAAGGCCUCUGGGCUGUAAACCUCUUUUAUCAAGGAAGAAGAUCUGACGGUACUUGAUGAAUAAGCCACGGCUAAUUCCGUGCCAGCAGCCGCGGUAAUACGGGAGUGGCAAGCGUUAUCCGGAAUUAUUGGGCGUAAAGCGUCCGCAGGCGGCCCUUCAAGUCUGCUGUUAAAAAGUGGAGCUUAACUCCAUCAUGGCAGUGGAAACUGUUGGGCUUGAGUGUGGUAGGGGCAGAGGGAAUUCCCGGUGUAGCGGUGAAAUGCGUAGAUAUCGGGAAGAACACCAGUGGCGAAGGCGCUCUGCUGGGCCAUCACUGACGCUCAUGGACGAAAGCCAGGGGAGCGAAAGGGAUUAGAUACCCCUGUAGUCCUGGCCGUAAACGAUGAACACUAGGUGUCGGGGGAAUCGACCCCCUCGGUGUCGUAGCCAACGCGUUAAGUGUUCCGCCUGGGGAGUACGCACGCAAGUGUGAAACUCAAAGGAAUUGACGGGGGCCCGCACAAGCGGUGGAGUAUGUGGUUUAAUUCGAUGCAACGCGAAGAACCUUACCAGGGUUUGACAUCCUGCGAAUCUCUUGGAAACGAGAGAGUGCCUUCGGGAACGCAGUGACAGGUGGUGCAUGGCUGUCGUCAGCUCGUG